CAGCCCCUAAAAGAUGAAAGGGAUGCUGGGGAGAUGGCUGAGGGCGUGAGGUGCUGACCCUGCAAGCGUGCCAACCUGAGUUCGAUCUCCAAACCCACAUGAAGAUGGAAGGAGAGAACCGACCGCCACAUGGAGGGAUAAUCUCCUGUGUACUGUGUGGAAGGAUCGCCUGCCAAUCAAAAUCUGACGGCUAAUAAGCUGAGGCAGGAUGGGAAGGUGGGACAUCCGGUGGGGAGAGCGAGAGAAAGGAAUGCUGGGAAAGAGUUGGGCACAGGGAACUGCCAUUCAGACUCGGGAGAAGUUGAAUGUAUGAAACUGGGGAGAGGUGACCGCCAUAUGGCAGACAUAGACGAAUAUAUAUGGGGAUAAUUGAGUUACGAACUACUCGGGGAACAAGCCUAGCUUAUGGCCUAGGCAUUUAUUCAUACAUAAUCUCUCUGGAUCAUUAUUCAGCAACUGUAACAACAUAACAUUUAAGGAUCAAGGGAACACCCGCUGCUCCUCAGAGCCACAUUGUGCUUCUAGCCCUGUGACUGCUGUUAAUACGUAACAAGUCACCAAUGUGUUAAAAAACAGUUUACCUUGUUUAAAAAAUAUUCUCCGUCAAAGAGAUAUGGAAACUGACAUCAUUAAAUUCAUUUAACCUCUGCCUGUGGGAGGCUGCCCUGAAGGCUGCAGAUGUUCAUAGAUUCAAAUGGUGAGCUUCAGUUUCCUGUCUCUGCCUCUGCCUAAUCACAAAUUCUAAUGUUUCCCCCUACUCUAGAAGUCACUGAUGGAUAUGACCCCAGGCUAGACCAGUUGUCUUGGACAGGGGACUGUGAGACAAAGCACAGCUUUCCUCUUUUGGUUUCCCCUUUGCUACCCCAGUCCAUGGCCUUCCAUGUUUGUAUUGUAUAUGGAGAAGAUAUUUGUAUAUGGACAAAAGUCAGGUCAGCCUUUCUCUACUCUUCCCAAUAGUUUAUUCAUGUGACACAAAUUAAUUAACACCAUGAGGUCAAAACUAGCAGAGGGACUUUUAGUUCAAAGGGCAAAUGUGUACAUUUCCAACUAGGAAAUGACCUUAUUACACCAGACUCCAAGACAUUGCUGAGAAAAUGUAUGUAUGCAGUCCCUGGGAUAGAAGAACCUUUCCAUUAACAAGAAUAAAAUAAAGAUACAUACACUUCUGAAUUAGCAAUAUGAAGAAAGAGAGGAAGGAAGAAAGAGAGAAAGAAAGAAGAAAAAAGAGAUGAGGAGAGUUCUGGAAGGCUAAGUAACUGCCAUCGUGGACAUAGCCUUCAAGCGUACUUAGGUCUGUCUGCUUCAAAGGCCACCCCUUGGAUCCCUGUGCCAUGUCUUAACAGGUGCUUGAAAGUUGUCGCCACAAAGCUUUCAAACGCAAACAGUGGGCAAACUCACCUGUCUCUGAGAUCAUGAUGUUGUCGUUGUGCCUGUCACCUAUCCCAAGAACAAAUGUGGCCACACAGUAGCCUGCACAGGAGUAAACGAACCUUUCCACUGCUGCCUGAAACUGAUGAGAACGGAUGUGAAUGUUGAUGGCUUUCCAGCUACAGAGAGCAGCCAAGUCAACGACAAGGCCUCCCACAAGGACAGUGCCCUAGGAGCCAUUUCAGACAGCAAGAAGUUUGGGUCCUUAGUUUUAUAUCAAGGAAGUGCCAACUGUCACAUGAUUCUGCUUGUAUUUUCAGUGAGGACUCAUCCAAACACCACAUCAUGAGGAAGACCCAAGAAGGAAAGGGCCACAGUCAUUUAUUAAAAUUUCCCACCCUUUCUUUUAGCCACUUGCCCGCAACUGUACAGAACUCAUAGCAAUUUCUUCAAUUAUGCCUUCCUAAUAACCAUUUAAGUGUAUGGGUGGUUUCACAAGCCUUCAUGUAUAACAGAGUAAUAAAGGCUACUAGUUAUAUUCCCUCCACCAAAGACUGCUGGCCAUACAAAUGUGAGGUGCUAUUCCUGUGUGGUAGAACUUUAAAUGGCACCAAGACAGUCUAGUUGAACAGCUUUUGAAGGAUCCAGCAUAUGCCCUUCAGCAAGAUAGACAGUUUCAACAUUUGUAACUUCCCAUUUAGAGCCACAGUAGAAAUUGUAAAUUUUUUGGGGGGGUUGGCAAUGAAAGAACGUAUAUAUGGUAACCAAAUCUGUGGGUUAAACAACAAAAGUGUUCAGAAAAAGUGCUAACAGAUUAUUUCACAAAACCAAAUUCUAUGCAAAGCUUGACUGGUAUUCAAAACUGAAGCUAACGUUUUCCGGGUCUAGAAGUAGGCCUCUGUCUCAUAGAUAAGCUGUGUCAUUAGGGGAAAACCCUCACAAACCCCGACAGCCUCAGGAGCCAAAGACUCAACCAGUAUGUGGGGCAACAGGGACAUCCAUCAGAAGAGCCUGCUACACCAGAAACCACCGCUGUCCGACAGAAGACAAGCUGUAUGGAGCAGUGGGUCUGGGCUGAGGAAGGGAGAACUCACCUUUUCUUCAAUAGGGCAUUUUUCCUUGAGCCAGUGAUUCAGGACUUCAUCUUUGAAUGCCCCCGUGUUACCCACCGUGCUCUGCUGAAUUUGAGCAAUCGUCGUGGCGUCCUUCACAAUCUCUAUCAUCCCUGUGUGAAGAGACAGAAUUCUGAGGUGGCUGAUCCUGCUAAGUCUUGGCCGAGUGAAGAACAGAAAGGUUUUUAUUAGGCCAAAGAUCUGUUUUCCAGGUCUGAGCUAUUUUGUUGUUGUUUGCUUGCUUGCCUUUAGGGAAGAAAAUAUCAGUAAAGCUCCAGAACUUGCCAAGGACACUCUCUCAAUAGCCCUGACUAAGGAGAGGAAAGGGCUGCUUUGGGGGAGUGACAAAUAAAGUCAUUUAUGUGCCAAGCUUAGCCUUCCUUGCUCAGAGAUUGGAACUUUUCCUUUACAGGUAACAAGGCCAAAUGUUUUCUACAUUUCUCAUAUCAGAACCUUGAAUAAAAAUAAGCGUGAUUAAAACUAAAAUGUUAAAUGCC